CAAAUCGUAACAAAAUUUCUGCAACGGGUAGAAUUGCCGCAAAAAAAAGACCGACCAAUGGUAGAAUUCGCAGUGUGAGUUUAACGAAAAAUUUCGAAAAAAUAUUAAAUACUUUUUGAUAUGAAAAAUAGAAUAAGUUGGAGAAAAAAUUUGUAGUGUUGUGAAAUUCACUUCUAUACGAUUAUUUUACGGCAACGGGUAAUCGGUAAAGCAAGGUUUUCGUAUUGACACUUAAAUGUCAUAAUCAUCUACAAAAUAUAAUUUUUUUCUUUUCGCUGGUGUUUGCUCGCUUGCUCCUGAAAUUAAAUUAAAACGCAAAAAUUCUAACGAAAUCGGUCGGAAAAAGUGAUACGUGAAUGAAAAAAGGCAAAGCGUGAAUAAAAGAAAAUAUAUUUAUUACAAUACAAGUAUUUUGUAAACUACGCACCAAGUGAAGCGGAUGAGUUGGUUAUUUUGGGUGUCUUCUUUAGUUCGCGGGUGGACGCACAACAAAGUGACAAAAAAGAAAACUGGAACCGAGUUAUUUUGGUAAUGGUGAUUACACAAGUGCACCAAAGAUACCAGCAAUAGAAUUUUUAACAGCAAAAGCUAAGGCCUGAUAAUCGAAGGUUAAAGAUUUAAUAUCAUCAUCAUCAUUAUCACCGUCAUCAUCAUCUACGAGUGUUACAAUCAAUAAGCACUACAAAAAAAAAAUGUCUCAGACACAUUGACACAUAUUGUUGUUGGUGUCGAGCGAAAAUUCAGAAAAAGGAAACAACAAAAAUUUCAAAGAAAAUCCCUAAAAUCGAUUCUCGAAUGCAUGACCAACUAGAGUGCGUGUGUGUGUGUGUAUUUUUGAAAUAUCACAAGUAGAAAAAAGUGUUAUCCUUGAGUUCAACAUUGCCAUUGCCCCUCCUUCCAUCCAUUACAUCAACAUUAUAGAAGCAAUAUGUUAAAAUUAAUUCCUUUCCCAUGUGCUAUUUAAGUGAAAACAUGUUAAAAUUUAUGAAUUUAUAUAAAACUAUAAAAUAUUUGACGAUAUAUCAAAAAAUUUCUAAAAGAAAUCGAGUCUAAAUAUGCGUAAGCAGUUUUGCUGCAACAAACCAUAAAGGGUUCGUUCGGUCGUUCGUUCUUCUUACACUCUGUCAAAGUUAUCUUACCCCACUAACCUAACUUACGACUGUAUGUAAAUAUUUUAUAUAUAAAGAAAAUAAGAAAUAACAAAUUAAUCAAAUGAAAAUCACAAUAAUUGUGUGUCUAACCAAACGAAAUCGUCGAUAUACGAGUUGAAUAAAUCGAAAACAAAAAUGUUGCGAAACAUAUUUUAAUUUUUUUUUGGUGUUGUGUUCCUUAUGGUUUUUGGAAAAAAGUACACAUUGUUCCUUUCUUUAUUAAAAAAAAAUAAUAAUAUGUAAAUUUGUAACUAAGUGAAAAAAAUCAUGCAAGGUGGAAAAAUUAAUAAAAAAAAAUCCAAGGAUAAUCCUUAAAUAAUUUGUACAAAAAAAAAUUUGGCUAAAAAGCAAACAGUUUUGUUGAAACCAGAGAAAAAAGAAUAAUCCAAAAAAAAAUUAAUCAUUUAACAAAAGUCGUUAUUUAUAUGAUUUAUCAUAAAGUGCGAAAGGGAAAUCUGAAAAAAAAAUAAAAUUAAAAAUUAACAAAAAAUUUUACUCUACCACCAUAAUUUUCAAAGCGUUGUUCUCAUCACCAUCACCUUAACAUCAGGGCCUAACAUCAGCAACAACGUUUUGUGAUAUAGUUCUCAACAAAAACAACAACAACAAAUUUACCUACUUGCUGUUAUCCUUCGCUUACUUUUCAUAUUAAUGCAGCUAUGGCCUACAGUUGUCGUUACGGCAAACGUAGCAAAUAUCGUGCCAAAGAAAAAGCGCCUGAAUUUUUAAAAGUGAUAAGAAAACGUUAUGGUUUAUUGUUACUUGAAAGAGGUUAGUAACCACCCUGUA
rnacentral:sRNA from 1 species